rnacentral:rRNA from 1 species
GAUGAACGCUGGCGGCGUGCCUAAUACAUGCAAGUCGAGCGAACAGACGAGGAGCUUGCUCCUCUGACGUUAGCGGCGGACGGGUGAGUAACACGUGGAUAACCUACCUAUAAGACUGGGAUAACUUCGGGAAACCGGAGCUAAUACCGGAUAAUAUAUUGAACCGCAUGGUUCAAUAGUGAAAGACGGUUUUGCUGUCACUUAUAGAUGGAUCCGCGCCGCAUUAGCUAGUUGGUAAGGUAACGGCUUACCAAGGCAACGAUGCGUAGCCGACCUGAGAGGGUGAUCGGCCACACUGGAACUGAGACACGGUCCAGACUCCUACGGGAGGCAGCAGUAGGGAAUCUUCCGCAAUGGGCGAAAGCCUGACGGAGCAACGCCGCGUGAGUGAUGAAGGUCUUCGGAUCGUAAAACUCUGUUAUUAGGGAAGAACAAAUGUGUAAGUAACUCUGCACGUCUUGACGGUACCUAAUCAGAAAGCCCCGGCUAACUACGUG